rnacentral:tRNA from 1 species
GGGGGUUUAGCUCAGUGGUAGAGUGAAUGCCUAGCAUGCAUGAGGUCCUGGGUUCAAUCCUCAGUACCUCCA